ACGUUAGCGGCGGACGGGUGAGUAACACGUGGGUAACCUACCUAUAAGACUGGGAUAACGUUCGGGAAACCGGAGCUAAUACCGGAUAAUAUUUCGAACCGCAUGGUUCGAUAGUGAAAGAUGGUUUUGCUAUCACUUAUAGAUGGACCCGCGCCGUAUUAGCUAGUUGGUAAGGUAACGGCUUACCAAGGCGACGAUACGUAGCCGACCUGAGAGGGUGAUCGGCCACACUGGAACUGAGACGCGGUCCAGACUCCUACGGGAGGCAGCAGCA
rnacentral:rRNA from 1 species